CAUUUCAUCUGCUUCAUCAAGGACACGGAAUUUUAGUUGGCUCAGGUCUAUAUUUCCCCUCUCGAUAUGAUCCUGCACCAAUACAUGCCAGAUGAAAAUCAAAAACAUUGUUAAUACUCGACUUCAACACAAAGUAAAACUUUCAGGGUACUUAAAAUAUUUACAUAUAUUAAGGAAAUAACUUAGUAGCAACAUAUAUCAACUAGUAAUACUGCAAUUACCUUAACACGACCUGGUGUGCCAAUUACAAUAUCAACACCUCUCCUAAGCUUGAUUUCUUGAGUGUUAUAUGGAGCUCCACCAUACAAACAACAUGAACUCAAUCCCAUCGCUCCACCAUAAACUUCAAAAUC
rnacentral:lncRNA from 1 species